GCCUGGCUGGCUCAGUCGGAAGAGCGUGGGACUCUUGAUCCGGGGGUCGUGAGUUCGAGCCUCAUGUUGGGCU